GGGAAUAUAGCUCCAAUGGUAGAGCGGAGGAUUGAAGAUCCUCGCGUUACUGGUUCGAAUCCAGUUAUUCCCA
rnacentral:tRNA from 1 species